AGGGGUGUGGUUGAUGGUACAGGCCCCUUUAAAGGACUACAAAGCAUCCCAGCAGGUCCAGCAGUCGCGAUGCCCGCCCAUGUUUUCAUGCACCAGGUCCUCCAUCCACACUUGAACUCUGCUAUCUUCCAAAUACUUCAUCUCAUUUCACCUCCAGUUGAAGCAGAUCCAACAGCUCAGUGAGAUGAUCCAAUACAUUGCACUACUAUGUCAGCAAACAGGAGGUAGGAGUAGGAACUUGUGGUGGGGUGGGUGGGGAGGUGGAGAACGUGCAUUUGGGUUGCAGGGCAGUUUUUUGGCACCUUGAAUUGAUCUAAAUGGGAAGCCUGUUCCCUUUCCUUCUUAGUCAUCUUUUGC
rnacentral:lncRNA from 1 species